CUUGGAGGGUGUGCCCUUGACGCGUGGGUUCCGGAGCUAACUUCUUUUGUCGACCGCCUGGGGAGUACGGCCGCAAGGGUGAAACUCGAAUGAAUUGACGGGGGCCCGGACAUUCGGUGGAACAUGUGCUUUAAUUCCAUGCAACGCGAAGAACCUUACCUGGUCUUGACAUCCAAGGAAGUUUUCAUAUAUGAGAAUGUGCCGUCCUGAACCGGGAGACUCGUGCUGCAUGGCUGUCGUCAGCUCGUGUUGUGAAAUGUUGGGUUAGGUCCCGAUGCCAUGGCAACCCUUAUCCUUUGUUGCCAUUUAUCCGGCCGGGAACUCUUUGGAUACUGCCACUGAUCAACUGGAAGAAGGGGGGGAUGACGUCCUCUCAUCAUGGCCCUUACCACCAUUGCUACACACGUGCUACCAUGGCCCAUACAAAGACAAGCGACCUCUUCAGAACAAGCGGAUCUCAUAAAGUGCGUCUUACUCGGGAUUGGAGUCUGCAACUCGACUCCCUGAAUUCAGAAUCGCUAAUAAUCUGGUAUCACAAUGGCACGGUGAAUACGUUCCUC
rnacentral:rRNA from 1 species